rnacentral:miRNA from 1 species
AUGUACGUUUACUGCUAGAUGU